UUUUAAUGAUAGUUUACAUAGUAGAACUUCCUAGUUUAAAAUUAAUCUUGGAUUGAAACUUUAAGAAGCAAAUAUUUGUGUAUCUUUUCAAAGCGGAGACCAUGAAGACUAACCUCGUCAUGACUGUCGUGUUUCUGACAGCACUGUUCUGGAUCCCAAUCAGCUGCUGCAUUUCCUGCAUGGACGGGAAAAACAAAAAACCCGCACCUAAGAAACCGAUGGUAAUUGCGACAAUCUUAGUUUCCUAUUACCUUUUUGCUGUUCUUUGCGAUGAAUAAAAGAAAUAUUACUAAAGACUCCCUAACAUCAAUGUUAGACUGUAUAAUACAACAGUAAAUGGAAGAUACAAUUAGAGCAAGACCAUUUAUCUUCCCGCUUUUAAUGAUUAUUUCAAUCUUUUCUUUAAACGUCUUCGUCUUCUGUUGAAUGUAUGAGGCAGGUAAUAUUUUGUUCUUUUAAGGCACGCAAAAAACCACCCACUAAAAAAAUGUCUUCGUCCGUGGAUGCCAAGUCUUAUGAAAUGAGGAAUGUGAAUCAGGCAGGAUCUUCCGUCGAUCCGGCAGGAUCUUCAGUCGAUUAGACAGGAUCUUCAGUCGAUCCGUCCGCACAACCGUAAGGUCCAACGCCUUCCAAACGCCAAUGAAGGGAUGUGGACAAGAAUAAAAUAAGUCCAUCAGUACUGUAAGAAACAGUAUUAACACGAAAUAUUUCAAAGUCUGGCCUAACACCGACAGACUAAAUAAGACCUAAAAUAUAUUUUGUCUUAUCGGAUGAAAGACUAUUACUUUUUAAAAUAUCACAAGCACACACCGAAGAAUAUAACAUUUCGUAAAUUACAUAUUUAAGACUUGUUUCUAUAACUUAACACUGUUUUAAAGAAGCAAAUUAAAUCCAAUGCUUUUAAACAAGCCGCUAGGAAACAUGUACUGACAAGGCUGAAAGUAUACAUUGAGUUUUAUCUCACAAAAAAAAUUAAUUU